UUCUGAAAGGCCUGGUGCUGGA
rnacentral:miRNA from 1 species